rnacentral:rRNA from 1 species
CCUACGGGAGGCAGUAGUAGGGAAUAUUGCUCAAUGGGGGAAACCCUGAAGCAGCAACGCCGCGUGGAGGAUGAAGGUUUUCGGAUUGUAAACUCCUUUUGUUAGAGACGAUUAUUACGGUAUCUAACGAAUAAGCACCUGCUAACUCCGUGCCAGCCGCCUGGGUAAUACGAAGGAGGCAAGCGUUACUCGGAAUCACUGGGCGUAAGGAGCGCGUAGGCGGGAGAGCAAGUCAGCUGUGAAAUCCUAGGGCCAAACCAUAGAACUGCAUUUGAAACUGUUUUUCUGGAGUAUGGAAGCGGUGGGUGGAAUGCUUGGUGUAGGGGUAAAAUCCGUAGAGAUCAAACGGAAUACUCAUUGCGAAGGCGACCUGCUAGAACAUAACUGACGCUGAUGCGCGAAAGCGUGGGGAGUAAACAGGAUUAGAUACCCUGGUAGUC